rnacentral:lncRNA from 1 species
CUCGAGUUGAAUCAUAUCGAUUUCAGUGAAACGAUGCUAGUUUCGGCCACAGCAGUGGCAGCGUCUUAAGACAAAGACAGACGAUACAUUAAAAAAAAAACGACAGCAUCAACAUCAGAAACUGCAACACAAGUAACAAAAAUGAGCUGAACUUUAUAAAGAAACAGCAACUAGAAUAAAGAUCAAUAUUAAACAAAUUAAAAUUUCUAAAAACGUGAGCUAAUCGAAGCCAACUUCUAAGCUAGCAUUAAAUAUAUCUAAUGUAGAAAUUCAGUGGUGUAGUGAGCUGCGACAAGUUGAGAUUAAUCUCCGUUUAUAUGUAUGUGGCUACGCUUUGCCGAUAACUCAAAAACACAUCAACCCCCAAUUUACAGACAGCAAUUUUGUAGCAACAAAAUAGAAGAACGGCGCUAGUGCGGAAAGAAAUUCUGGUCUAUUCCUGCAUCGUGAACAUACUCGGUUGUAGGUAUCUGCACUGUGAAGAACUACAGCUUGUUGCUUUUUAAAUACAUUUAAUAUCCGCAUUCUGUUUGUAUAUAUAAAGUCGUAAUUAAAUAUACGCAACUCUAAACAUUUAUUGUUCAUUAUUUGUAUUUGAUAUAAACCUUGCUAAAUUCAAUUCGUGCUAAAAAGUUGAGACAAUAUAUUGAUGCCAAUGUCUGAUAAAUAAACGGAUGCUCUUGCUUUUUUU